ACCUGGCUGGCUCAGUUCACAGAGCACAUGACUGUUAAUCUUGGAGUUAGGAGUUCAAACCCCAUGUGGGGUA
rnacentral:tRNA from 1 species